GAGCAGCCUAAAGAUUGGAACAUGUUUGCUAGGACUUGGCUGGUGCAUCGAGUGGCUUGGAGAUUGGUUGUAUCUACUAAGACUUGAGUACGCAGUAUGUUCCUAGGGACUGAAUUUGAUCUAUUUAUGGACUAAGAUCCGAAAUAGAAUAAAGUCUAGAGUAGACGACAUUCAAAAGAAAGACAUAGACUUGGUGGACACUAGAGCCGCAACCUAGAGAGUUCGGCCAGUGACACAAGGUUUGUCUUUGGAUAUGAUUACAAGUAACACUGGUAUGUGUGCUUAAUGGGCCUAGACUGUGGUUAGAGUAGCCAA
rnacentral:lncRNA from 1 species